rnacentral:rRNA from 1 species
CGGACGGGUGAGUAAUGUCUGGGAAACUGCCUGAUGGAGGGGAUAACUACUGGAAACGGUAGCUAAUACCGCAUAACAUCGCAAGACCAAAGAGGGGGACCUUCGGGCCUCUUGCCAUCAGAUGUGCCCAGAUGGGAUUAGCUAGUAGGUGGGGUAACGGCUCACCUAGGCGACGAUCCCUAGCUGGUCUGAGAGGAUGACCAGCCACACUGGAACUGAGACACGGUCCAG